GCGGUGAUAGUCCAAUGGUUGAAUUCUUGCCCUGCAUGUGGGAGAUCUGGGUUCGAUUCCCAGUCAAUGCA
rnacentral:tRNA from 1 species